rnacentral:tRNA from 1 species
AUUUAUAUAAUAUAUACAUAUAGUAUAUUUGACUUCCAAUCAAAAAGAUUAUUCAUAAUAUAAAUA